UGAUAUCACCUUUUUGAGAAG
rnacentral:miRNA from 1 species